rnacentral:sRNA from 1 species
AUGACUGAGCGACUGAACUGAAUGCAUGCAAAAUUAAACAACACAUUCUGAAGGGCUCGAUGAGGCGAAGAAUAACUCACACGGGAAAUGGGAACAUAUUCUAAGGUGAUUUAAAAUGAAAACCCAAUGUAGAAAGUCAUCAGAUACAGCAGAAGAAGAACCCAUAUAUAUUUAAGGUUACAUAAAAAGAAAGCUCUUCAAUUCUGGGGAGAAGGUAAUGCCUUCUUUAAAAGCUGG